GCCUAUGUGCUCAGUGGUUAGAGCAUUGGCCCACGCACCAAAAGAUCAUGGGUUUAAUUCCUGGUCAAGGGCA
rnacentral:tRNA from 1 species